AGAGUUCGAUCAUGGCUCAGAUUGAACGCUGGCGGCAGGCCUAACACAUGCAAGUCGAACGGUAACAGGAAACAGCUUGCUGUUUCGCUGACGAGUGGCGGACGGGUGAGUAAUGUCUGGGAAACUGCCUGAUGGAGGGGGAUAACUACUGGAAACGGUAGCUAAUACCGCAUAACGUCGCAAGACCAAAGAGGGGGACCUUCGGGCCUCUUGCCAUCAGAUGUGCCCAGAUGGGAUUAGCUAGUAGGUGGGGUAACGGCUCACCUAGGCGACGAUCCCUAGCUGGUCUGAGAGGAUGACCAGCCACACUGGAACUGAGACACGGUCCAGACUCCUACGGGAGGCAGCAGUGGGGAAUAUUGCACAAUGGGCGCAAGCCUGAUGCAGCCAUGCCGCGUGUAUGAAGAAGGCCUUCGGGUUGUAAAGUACUUUCAGCGGGGAGGAAGGGAGUAAAGUUAAUACCUUUGCUCAUUGACGUUACCCGCAGAAGAAGCACCGGCUAACUCCGUGCCAGCAGCCGCGGUAAUACGGAGGGUGCAAGCGUUAAUCGGAAUUACUGGGCGUAAAGCGCACGCAGGCGGUUUGUUAAGUCAGAUGUGAAAUCCCCGGGCUCAACCUGGGAACUGCAUCUGAUACUGGCAAGCUUGAGUCUCGUAGAGGGGGGUAGAAUUCCAGGUGUAGCGGUGAAAUGCGUAGAGAUCUGGAGGAAUACCGGUGGCGAAGGCGGCCCCCUGGACGAAGACUGACGCUCAGGUGCGAAAGCGUGGAGAGCAAACAGGAUUAGAUACCCUGGUAGUCCACGCCGUAAACGAUGUCGACUUGGAGGUUGUGCCCUUGAGGCGUGGCUUCCGGAGCUAACGCGUUAAGUCGACCGCCUGGGGAGUACGGCCGCAAGGUUAAAACUCAAAUGAAUUGACGGGGGCCCGCACAAGCGGUGGAGCAUGUGGUUUAAUUCGAUGCAACGCGAAGAACCUUACCUGGUCUUGACAUCCACGGAAGUUUUCAGAGAUGAGAAUGUGCCUUCGGGAACCGUGAGACAGGUGCUGCAUGGCUGUCGUCAGCUCGUGUUGUGAAAUGUUGGGUUAAGUCCCGCAACGAGCGCAACCCUUAUCCUUUGUUGCCAGCGGUCCGGCCGGGAACUCAAAGGAGACUGCCAGUGAUAAACUGGAGGAAGGUGGGGAUGACGUCAAGUCAUCAUGGCCCUUACGACCAGGGCUACACACGUGCUACAAUGGCGCAUACAAAGAGAAGCGACCUCGCGAGAGCAAGCGGACCUCAUAAAGUGCGUCGUAGUCCGGAUUGGAGUCUGCAACUCGACUCCAUGAAGUCGGAAUCGCUAGUAAUCGUGGAUUAGAAUGCCACGGUGAAUACGUUCCCGGGCCUUGUACACACCGCCCGUCACACCAUGGGAGUGGGUUGCAAAGGAAGUAGGUAGCUUAACCUUCGGGAGGGCGCUUACCACUUUGUGAUUCAUGACUGGGGUGAAGUCGUAACAAGGUAACCGUAGGGGAACCUGCGGUUG
rnacentral:rRNA from 1 species